GGUACCUCCUAUCAGCUCGCAGCUUCUUCCCAAACACGCCCACGUACACAGAAACCGGCCCUGCGUCUACACAACACACGGCUACAGGAAAAGAGCUCCGAGGGGGGCAGGUGGGAGGAUGGUUUGGCGCCGCACAGGUUUACGGCUCUUUUCCAGAUAUUAGGUCCUCACACUUGGCUCGGGUUUCUGCCAAAUCACCUCCAAAGCGCGGUGUUUACGAGCCUCCCUAACCCGAUACUGCAAUGGAAUUCCGGAUCUUUGCAGACUGAUAUCCCGGCUUUGCAAGGGAAUCCUCGGAUCCCGUCGGGAACCGCUCGCUAUCCCAGUGCGCCAGCUCCCGGCCGCACAGCCGGCUCCCCCGGCUCCCCCGGCUCCCCCGGCUCCCCCGCCCCCAGCCCCCAGCCCCGGCCGCGCCCCCGGCCCCGCGCCCCGCACCCCGCGCCCCGCAGCCCCGCGCCCCGCAGCCCCGCGCCCGGCCCGGGGCCAGCGCAGCGCAGCGCAGCGCCAGCCUCUCUCCGGGUCCCGGGGCCGCCGGGAGACCCGGGCUGCGGGCCGCUCCGCAACAGGUCACCGCGACCGCGGGGCGCAGCGCCAGGGCCAGGGCCAGGGCCAGGGCCAGGGCCAGGGCAGGGCCAGGGGAGGGGGUGUGGCCCGGCUCCGCGCUCCCGGCUCCCGGCUCCCGCUCACCUGAAGGCAGGCAGAGGCGCAGCCGGGCGCCAGGGCUGCGCGGGCCGGGGCUGGAGGCGCCCGCCCGCCGGGAGGGCGAGCGAGGCGGCCUCGGGGGCGGCACGGAGCCCGGGAGCGGGGACCGCACGGCCGCCGAGAGCCGGCCGCCGAGAGCGAGGCGCGGCCCCGCAGCCCCUCUCCGAGCCGGGGGCGAGCAGCCCCGGGGCCCGGGCCCGCGGCCGGGAGAUCCACGCCGCGGCGCCGGGGCCGCCGCCAUUCCCCGCGCCGCCCGGGGGGCGCAGCGCACCCACCUUCCCUCCCCCGCACCGGGCCCGCCGCCAGAGCACCGACCUGUGCAGCCGCGGCCGUCGCCUCGGAGGACGGGAAGACCACGCCGGCCUCCGGCUCUGCCGCCGCCGCCGCCGCCGCCGCCGCCGCCGCCUCGGCGAGCGCCCGGGGACCCGAGCACUCGGCGUCUCUCAUUCAGCGCCAGCCGCCGCCGCCGCCGCCGCCGCCGCCGCCGCCGCCGCUCGGGGGAGGGGAGCGCGCUGGAUCCACCCCGUCCGCGCCGGGGGUGGGGGAGGAGAGCCGGCCCGGCGGGCGCGCGCGGGGAGGGCGGGGCGCACCCAACGAGCGCGCACCCAACGAGCGCGCACGCGCGUGCCCCCCGCGCCCCGGCCGCUCUGCCGCCCGCAAGCCCAACGGCCGCCGGGGACCGCUGUGCGCAGCGCGCGCCGCUUGCCGCAGCCCCUCGGCCCCGCGCGCGCGGGAGGGAAGGGCCGCUACCCGCCCAGCCGAGGGGCGGGCCGGGGCUGGAGGCCCGACAGGUGGGGCUGCCGCUGCGGCCGGCCGCCUCCGCCCCCCCCGCCCCCCGCCCCCCGCGCGGGGCCCACCCGCUCCCGGCGCCGGCACCUCGCCUCCGAGGCCCGAGAACAAAGUCUGCAAACGCUUGGCCCCCGGAUGGAAUACGCUGCCCGCGGAGGCUCUAGAAUUAGUGAGAGGGCUCCAAAUGUGAAGAAGAGCCACCCCACAUGCUAG
rnacentral:lncRNA from 1 species